ensembl:lncRNA
AAUGUUUUCUGUUUACAAGACUUUGACAUGAAUUAUCUUAUUUAUCAGUUAAACGAUUACCCCAUUUAAAACAUUAACUAGGCAGUCUACAUAGAAAAAAAGCCCGGGUACAGAUAUGCAUCUCUAGACACAUUUACCUUAGUGCUCACACCCUCAUUAUGAGAGUAGUGGAGUCGCUAUCUUGACUUUGAGAAAUAACAUGACUUCACAUACACACUAGUUAAUCUAGCUUUUGAGAUAGGUAGGUAUUAACUGUCAUUAAGACUCUGAUUUUUUAGUUAGAAAAACGGAGACAAGCCAGUAAGUCAAUAAAGCAACCAAGAUUACUAAGAGUAAAGGAAGGAAGCCAGGUUGCUGGCAGCCCAGUGUAGACAGCAGCCUCUUCCCAGUGGAGCAGGAUUGGCUGGUUGACCACAGGGACAAACCCAGCAGAUGGGUCAAGAUAGCAGCUGCUUGCAUGCUUGCCUCUUCCUGCUGACAUAUUCACUGGGUCUCAGCACUACCCCUGCAGGAGCCAUACUCUAUUAAGUUCUUAUUACAUGGCACCAGGCACUGUGCCAAACAUCUUGCACAUCAUAUGUCACUGAAUUUUCACGAUGUCUCUGUAAAUUGGUACUGUUAUUGUGUCUGUUUUAUAGACGUAGAACUGAAGCUCAGAGAAGCUGAGGGACGUGCCUAAGACUACAGAGCCAGGCAAGUUGCAGAACUGGGAUUAGAACCCAGCUCUGUUUGACUGCAAAGUCUGUUCCUGUCCCCCACUCCCCAUAAACUUCACUGCCCACUUUCCUCCUCCCUUCCUUUCUCCUUCCCACCACUUUGCAGAAUCAGAAUAUAUCAUAGAAGGAAAAAAAUAGCUUUUCCUGACAAGGCCUCUUCUUCUCAAUAUUAUUCUAAUGAGGAUAUUCUAACAGAAACUCUGGGGGCACAUUACAUCUCAUUAGACCCAUUUGAUGUCAAUUAUUAACUCCCCAGGUUAAUUUAACACAUACAAUGGCUAUCAGCUUACAUCCCUAGGCCCUGCUGAUGUAGGGCUUACAAGUAAACCAACUUCCCCCACAGAUAAUCCUAACUCUAGUAGCGAGUUGGCCUUCUGUUCUUGCUGUAAUACCAGAGUCAGGCAGGACAGCUUGUAAGUGUGCACAGGUUCAGGAAAAGGGCUCAGUCAACGGACCAGCAGCUUCGCCUACAAGUGCUUCUGCAAAGUGACAUCGAAGCGAUGCUUCUGUCUAGCAUGGGCUUUUAUCUUUCUGUCUACCUUUUGUGAGGGUUAUUCGGAUGUUUAGCUCCGGACACAGGGCCAACAGAAACAAGCAGAAGCUCUGCUAGGCCCAAGACAAACUUCAGGGUCCCCUCUCUCCUCUUCUACGCCGCUCCACUUCCCCCAAGUCAAGGAACCACAAAAUGUCUAGCUGGAAGAUUCAUUUAAUCUCCAGACCAAGAUUCUUCAACUUUAUCAUGCCACAGACUCUGACAAUCCAGUGAAGGCCGCUGACUCCUUCUCAGAAUCAUGAUUUUAAGUGCAUUUAAUAAAAUGUAUGUGAUUGUUAAGGAAAACAAUUACAUCGGAAUAGUUAUAACAUUUUAAAUUGUCUGAAAGUAAUAUAUGUGCUCCUUUAUUAAAGCUUUAAAUAGAAAGAGCUAGUGGUGGAUCUAAUAUUUACCACGAUUUCAAAGUAGUGGUGAGGAUAAAGGACAUUUUGAGAUGUCAACAACAACUGUAAUGUGACAUAUGAGAGAGUGCUGAUAUUAC